rnacentral:sRNA from 1 species
GAAUGUGAGAGCAAUUUGGCUGGGACGUAUGACACCCCAUGACCACUAGGUCGACUCAUCGGAUAAAAGGGCAGGAGGAGCCUGUCCCCUUCCUCCCUCUCAUUUCCAUCACAUCUUUUUCAAAGUCUUAAGAUGGAAGAAAAUGAUCUGCCCACAUGGGAGAGACCCGUGCUCCAGUCAAGAAGGCAGGAAUGACCACACUCCCUUCCCCUAAGGCCUCUAGGCUUCAAAG